AUUGAACGCUGGCGGCAGGCCUAACACAUGCAAGUCGAACGAGUGGCGGACGGGUGAGUAAUGUCUGGGAAACUGCCUGAUGGAGGGGGAUAACUACUGGAAACGGUAGCUAAUACCGCAUACCAUCUGAUGUGCCCAGAUGGGAUUAGCUUGUUGGUGGGGUAACGACUCCCCAAGGCGACGAUCCCUAGCUGGUCUGAGAGGAUGACCACCCACACUUGAACUGAGACACGUUCCAGACUCCUACGGUAGGCAGCAGUGGUGAAUAUUGCACAAUUGGCGCCAGCCUGAUGCAGCCAUGCCGCGUGUAUGAAUAAGGCCUUCGGGUUGUAAAGUACUUUCAGCGGGGAGGCGUUACCCGCAGAAGAAGCACCGGCUAACUCCGUGCCAGCCGCCGCGGUAAUUC
rnacentral:rRNA from 1 species